rnacentral:rRNA from 1 species
CCUACGGGGGGCAGCAGUGAGGAAUAUUGGUCAAUGGACGAGAGUCUGAACCAGCCAAGUAGCGUGAAGGAUGACUGCCCUAUGGGUUGUAAACUUCUUUUAUAUGGGAAUAAAAUGUUCCACGUGUGUGAUUUUGUAUGUACCAUAUGAAUAAGGAUCGGCUAACUCCGUGCCAGCAGCCGCGGUAAUACGGAGGAUCCGAGCGUUAUCCGGAUUUCUUGGGUUUAAAGGGCGCGUAGGUGGAUUGACAAGUCAGUUGUGAAAGUUUGCGGAUCAACCGUAAAAUUGCAAUUGAUACUGGCAGUCUUGAGUACAGGUGAGGUAGGCGGAAUGCGUGGUGUAGCGGUGAAAUGCUUAGAUAUCACGAAGAACUCCGAUUGCGAAGGCAGCUUACUAAACUGCCACUGACAUUGAUGCUCGAAAGUGUGGGGAUCAAACAGGAUUAGAUACCCGAGUAGUC